ACGGCAGCGCGGGGCAACCUGGCGGCGAGUGGCGAACGGGUGAGUAAUAUAUCGGAACGUACCCAAGAGUGGGGGAUAACGUAGCGAAAGUUACGCUAAUACCGCAUACGAUCUAAGGAUGAAAGCAGGGGACCGCAAGGCCUUGUGCUCCUGGAGCGGCCGAUAUCUGAUUAGCUAGUUGGUGAGGUAAAGGCUCACCAAGGCGACGAUCAGUAGCUGGUCUGAGAGGACGACCAGCCACACUGGAACUGAGACACGGUCCAGACUCCUACGGGAGGCAGCAGUGGGGAAUUUUGGACAAUGGGCGCAAGCCUGAUCCAGCAAUGCCGCGUGAGUGAAGAAGGCCUUCGGGUUGUAAAGCUCUUUUGUCAGGGAAGAAACGGUGCGGGCUAAUAUCCCGCGCUAAUGACGGUACCUGAAGAAUAAGCACCGGCUAACUACGUGCCAGCAGCCGCGGUAAUACGUAGGGUGCAAGCGUUAAUCGGAAUUACUGGGCGUAAAGCGUGCGCAGGCGGUUUUGUAAGUCUGUCGUGAAAUCCCCGGGCUCAACCUGGGAAUUGCGAUGGAGACUGCAAGGCUAGAAUCUGGCAGAGGGGGGUAGAAUUCCACGUGUAGCAGUGAAAUGCGUAGAGAUGUGGAGGAACACCGAUGGCGAAGGCAGCCCCCUGGGUCAAGAUUGACGCUCAUGCACGAAAGCGUGGGGAGCAAACAGGAUUAGAUACCCUGGUAGUCCACGCCCUAAACGAUGUCUACUAGUUGUCGGGUUUUAAUUAACUUGGUAACGCAGCUAACGCGUGAAGUAGACCGCCUGGGGAGUACGGUCGCAAGAUUAAAACUCAAAGGAAUUGACGGGGACCCGCACAAGCGGUGGAUGAUGUGGAUUAAUUCGAUGCAACGCGAAAAACCUUACCUACCCUUGACAUGGAAGGAAUCCUGG
rnacentral:rRNA from 1 species